CUGACCCAAUGAUGUUAGCACUGGGCUCUGAUGUGCUAUGAAAGAUGUUGGUGCCCCUCUGUUUUGACAUGCAGGGGGCCUGAGGGUCAG